CAGCAGCCACGGUAAUACGAAGGGUGCAAGCGUUAAUCGGAAUUACUGGGCGUAAAGCGUGCGUAGGCGGUUUGUUAAGUCUGUUGUGAAAUCCCCAGGCUCAACCUGGGAAUGGCAAUGGAUACUGGCAAGCUAGAGUGUGUCAGAGGAUGGUGGAAUUCCCGGUGUAGCGGUGAAAUGCGUAGAGAUCGGGAGGAACAUCAGCGGCGAAGGCGGCCAUCUGGGACAACACUGACGCUGAGGCACGAAAGCGUGGGGAGCAAACAGGAUUAGAUACCCCCGUAGUCCCUGUCUCUUAUAC
rnacentral:rRNA from 1 species